GAUUUAGAAUGCAUUAAAAGCUCUAACCAGCUUCACGCUGGAAAACUUAUUGUUCCUCAUGAUAAAUAUCUUGAAUACAUGCAAAGAAAACUAAUGUUAACUGGACACCAUUUUUAUUUUAGCAAAGCUUUUGAUAUAGCAAAAUCAAUAUGAGACUUAACUGAAGUCACCAUUCUGGAAUUAGCAAAACUAAUGAUAAGCUGUGUCUCAAAUGUCAUCUUAUCCUAUUCCAGUUCCCUUUCAAUCUCCUU